GGAUGGAUGGCCGAGUGGUUAUGGCGCUAGCUUCAGGUGCUAGUGGGGCAACCCGCGUGAGUUCGAUCCUCACUCCAUUCA
rfam:Tuber melanosporum whole genome shotgun sequence assembly, scaffold_16, strain Mel28